rnacentral:rRNA from 1 species
GGUGUGGAUUAGGCAUGCGAGUCGCGCGCGAAAGUUCCCUUCGGGGAGCGAGUAGAGCGGCGUAAGGGUGAGUAACACGUAAUCAACCUACCCUCGAGACCGGAAUAACCAGUGGAAACGCUGGCUAAUGCCGGAUGGACCCCCCGAUGGCAUCAUCGGGACGGUAAACGGCGGCGCAAGCCGAUGCUCGGGGAGGGGAUUGCGGCCUAUUAGCUUGUUGGUGAGGUAACGGCUCACCAAGGCGAUGAUGGGUAGCGGGUCUGAGAGGAUGAUCCGUCACACUGGGACUGAGACACUGCCCAGACUCCUACGGGAGGCUGCAGUCGAGAAUCUUCCGCAAUGGGCGAAAGCCUGACGGAGCGACACCGCGUGCAGGAUGAAGGCUCUCGGGUUGUAAACUGCUGUCACGCUAUAGGAAACGUUCAUGGUUAAUAUCCAUGGAUCUGACUAAAGCGAAAGGAAGCACCGGCUAACUCCGUGCCAGCAGCCGCGGUAAGACGGAGGGUGCAAACGUUGUUCGGAAUCACUGGGCAUAAAGCGCACGUAGGCGGUUCGGUCAGUCAGAUGUGAAAGCCCCCGGCUCAACCGGGGAACGGCAUUUGAUACUGCCGAGCUAGAGAGUGGUAGGGGUGAGCGGAACUCCAGGUGGAGCGGUGAAAUGCGUAGAUAUCUGGAGGAACACCGGUGGCGAAAGCGGCUCACUGGACCACUUCUGACGCUGAGGUGCGAAAGCUAGGGUAGCGAACGGGAUUAGAUACCCCGGUAGUCCUAGCCGUAAACGAUGGGCACUAGGUAGGGGAGACGCCUAUGGUUUUCUCUGCCGAAGCUAAUGUGUUAAGUGCCCCGCCUGGGGAGUACGCCCGCAAGGGUAAAACUCAAAGGAAUUGACGGGGGAUCACACAAUCGGUGGAGCAUGUGGUUUAAUUCGAAACAACGCGAAGAACCUUACCUGGCCUUGACAUGCACGGAUUAGCUCCUUGAAAGGGGAGUGACAGCUCUUCGGAGUCGGAACGUGUGCAGGUGUUGCAUGGCUGUCGUCAGCUCGUGUCGUGAGAUGUUGGGUUAAGUCCCGUAACGAGCGAAACCCUUGUCGUUAGUUGCCAGCGGGUAAUGCCGGGGACUCUAGCGAGACCGCCGUUGUCAAAACGGAGGAAGGUGGGGACGACGUCAAGUCAUCAUGGCCCUUAUGGCCAGGGCGACACACGUGCUACAAUGGUCCAUACAAAGGGUUCCGAGACCGCAAGGUGGAGGCAAUCCCAAAAAGUGGGCCUCAGUUCGGAUUGCAGGCUGAAAUUCGCCUGCAUGAAGCUGGAAUCGCUAGUAAUCGCGUAUCAGCCAUGACGCGGUGAAUAUGUUCCUGAUCCUUGUACACACCGCCCGUCAAGCCACGAAAGCGGGGAGCGCUCGAAGUCGCUUUGUCUAACCUUAGGGAGGACGGCGCCGAAAGCGAGCUCCGUGAUUGGGACUAAG